rnacentral:lncRNA from 1 species
GGAAAAGAAGAGUUCAAAUCAACAAAUAAAAUAAAUAUAAAUAAUAAUAAAGAGUAUUCAUAUAAUAACGAUGAUCAAGAAACACAAAAUGAAAUAAUACAAGAUACGAACGAUAAUGAAGUUUUUAAAAAUUCCGGUGAUAAAAGUGAAAAUGACAAUUUCUGUUAUGAAUGUUAUCAUGCAGGAAAUUUAAUUUGUUGCGACCAUUGUAUUAGAUCCUAUCAUUUAUAUUGCUUAAGCGAAUUAAAUAGACCAUUGACAGAUUAUAACUACUGGUAUUGUCCUAUUUGUAAAAAAAAUGGCGUAUCUAUGGGCGUCUCUUACAAGCGGAAGAAGAGAUUAAAAACGAUAAGUACACAAGAGAAAAAAAAAAGAAAAAGUAAAACAGAAAACUGAAGGCAGCAACUACACAGGUCAAAUAAAUGUAGGGGAUAACUAUCA